AUGUGCAAAGCAGAAACACUGGGAAAUGGUGAAAGGAGGAAAACCAAGCCACGAGGGCCAACUUCUCCCCUGGUCACCAGCACUGUUCAGCUAGUGUGCGUGCUGAGGAACCACAGAGCCCUGCAAUGGCCUUCAUGUGAAGUGGUUCAGACUAACAGGUGAUUUUCAGUGAAAGAAAAAAACGCCAAUGAGCUUCAAGGCCCAUCCAAUUGCACAUGGGAAAAACAAAUAGUCAUGACCAACCCAGGAGGCUCAGCCAGCAGCCAGGACCAGUUUCUGUGACUCAGGUAGGUACAGUCCAGCACCGUCAACCUGAUUGAGCUGUAGAUGUCCCUGUUCAUUGCAGGGGAGUUAGUUGGACUAGAUGACCUUUAAAGGUUCCUUCCUACUCAAACGAUUCUAUGACUGUACGAUGGUCUUGCAUCCAGCUGCAUGCUGGGGAUUAACCCAAUGCAUCCCUAU
rnacentral:lncRNA from 1 species